rnacentral:rRNA from 1 species
AACGAACGCUGGCGGCAGGCCUAACACAUGCAAGUCGAACGCCGUAGCAAUACGGAGUGGCAGACGGGUGAGUAACACGUGGGAACAUACCCUUCGGUUCGGAAUAACUCAGGGAAACUUGAGCUAAUACCGGAUACGUCCGCGAGGAGAAAGAUUCAUCGCCGGAGGAUUGGCCCGCGUCUGAUUAGCUUGUUGGUGAGGUAAUGGCUCACCAAGGCGACGAUCAGUAGCUGGUCUGAGAGGAUGAUCAGCCACAUUGGGACUGAGACACGGCCCAAACUCCUACGGGAGGCAGCAGUGGGGAAUCUUGCGCAAUGGGGGAAACCCUGACGCAGCCAUGCCGCGUGGAUGAUGAAGGUCUUAGGAUUGUAAAAUCCUUUCAGCGGGGACGAUAAUGACGGUACCCGCAGAAGAA